AGGACGAACGCUGGCGGUGCGCCUAACACAUGCAAGUCGAACGGUGAACCGGGCUUCGGCCCGGGGAUCAGUGGCGAACGGGUGCGUAACACGUGGGCAACCUGCCCCCGACCCUGGGAUAACCCCGGGAAACCGGAGCUAAUACCGGAUACUCUCCUCCGACCACAUGGUCAGAAGAGGAAAGGUCCGCCGGUCGGGGAUGGGCCCGCGGCCUAUCAGCUUGUUGGUGGGGUAACGGCCUACCAAGGCGACGACGGGUAGCUGGGUCUGAGAGGACGACCAGCCACACUGGGACUGAGACACGGCCCAGACUCCUACGGGAGGCAGCAGUGGGGAAUCUUGCGCAAUGGGCGAAAGCCUGACGCAGCGACACCGCGUGGGGGAUGAAGGCCUUUCGAGGUCGUAAACCCCUUUCGGCAGGGACGAAGCGAUCUCGUGACGGUACCUGCAGAAGAAGCCUCGGCUAACUCGUGCCAGCAGCCGC
rnacentral:rRNA from 1 species